GAUGAACGCUGGCGGCGUGCCUAAUACAUGCAAGUCGAGCGAACAGACGAGGAGCUUGCUCCUCUGACGUUAGCGGCGGACGGGUGAGUAACACGUGGAUAACCUACCUAUAAGACUGGGAUAACUUCGGGAAACCGGAGCUAAUACCGUAUAACAUGUUGAACCGCAUGGUUCAACAGUGAAAGACGGUCUUGCUGUCACUUAUAGAUGGAUCCGCGCCGCAUUAGCUAGUUGGUAAGGUAACGGCUUACCAAGGCAACGAUGCGUAGCCGACCUGAGAGGGUGAUCGGCAACACUGGAACUGAGACACGGUCCAGACUCCUACGGGAGGCAGCAGUAGGGAAUCUUCCGCAAUGGGCGAAAGCCUGACGGAGCAACGCCGCGUGAGUGAAGAAGGUCUUCGGAUCGUAAAACUCUGUUAUUAGGGAAGAACAAAUGUGUAAGUAACUAUGCACGUCUUGACGGUACCUAAUAAGAAAGCCACGGCUAACUACGUG
rnacentral:rRNA from 1 species